rnacentral:rRNA from 1 species
CCAGCUUUCCCCUUUAAGUAAGCGCAAAGCUAGCAAUCGCUAACUGCAAAAUCACUGCCAACCGCAAGCGCAGCAGACGCGUCAGACAAAUAGCUUGACUGCAGCUUGCGCACGUGAAAAGGGGAUCAUCCUGCAACGCUAGGCAACCCACAGCCAGAUUCCGGGCUCCACCUCGGGUGCACUGGCAAAGCCGCAUAACGCACCUGGGAGCCACAGGGCUAGCUGAGCGAGCUGCCAUAUUACUACCGCGCCCCGGCGAUGAAUCAAUCGCAAGCCGAGCACCGUUCGCGCAAGCCACAAACUGCCGCUAGCCUGGAUCGCGGCUAGGACAGGGGCCUGCUGACAACCGACGCUACAGGAGCUUGUCUGGAGC